rnacentral:piRNA from 1 species
UACACAAGUUAAAGGUGCAUCAUUCCA